rnacentral:rRNA from 1 species
UACGUAGGGGGCAAGCGUUGCUCGGAAUCACUGGGCGUAAAGCGCACGUAGGCGGAUCUUUAAGUCAGGGGUGAAAUCCUGGAGCUCAACUCCAGAACUGCCUUUGAUACUGGGGAUCUCGAGUCCGGAAGAGGUGAGUGGAACUCCGAGUGUAGAGGUGAAAUUCGUAGAUAUUCGGAAGAACACCAGUGGCGAAGGCGGCUCACUGGUCCGGUACUGACGCUGAGGUGCGAAAGCGUGGGGAGCAAACAGG